rnacentral:rRNA from 3 species
GGGUUGUGAGGUUAAGCGACUAAGCGUACACGGUGGAUGCCCUGGCAGUCAGAGGCGAUGAAGGACGUGCUAAUCUGCGAUAAGCGUCGGUAAGGUGAUAUGAACCGUUAUAACCGGCGAUUUCCGAAUGGGGAAACCCAGUGUGAUUCGUCACACUAUCAUUAACUGAAUCCAUAGGUUAAUGAGGCGAACCGGGGGAACUGAAACAUCUAAGUACCCCGAGGAAAAGAAAUCAACCGAGAUUCCCCCAGUAGCGGCGAGCGAACGGGGAGGAGCCCAGAGCCUGAAUCAGUGUGUGUGUUAGUGGAAGCGUCUGGAAAGGCGCGCGAUACAGGGUGACAGCCCCGUACACAAAAAUGCACAUGCUGUGAGCUCGAUGAGUAGGGCGGGACACGUGGUAUCCUGUCUGAAUAUGGGGGGACCAUCCUCCAAGGCUAAAUACUCCUGACUGACCGAUAGUGAACCAGUACCGUGAGGGAAAGGCGAAAAGAACCCCGGCGAGGGGAGUGAAAAAGAACCUGAAACCGUGUACGUACAAGCAGUGGGAGCACGCUUAGGCGUGUGACUGCGUACCUUUUGUAUAAUGGGUCAGCGACUUAUAUUCUGUAGCAAGGUUAACCGAAUAGGGGAGCCGAAGGGAAACCGAGUCUUAACUGGGCGUUAAGUUGCAGGGUAUAGACCCGAAACCCGGUGAUCUAGCCAUGGGCAGGUUGAAGGUUGGGUAACACUAACUGGAGGACCGAACCGACUAAUGUUGAAAAAUUAGCGGAUGACUUGUGGCUGGGGGUGAAAGGCCAAUCAAACCGGGAGAUAGCUGGUUCUCCCCGAAAGCUAUUUAGGUAGCGCCUCGUGAAUUCAUCUCCGGGGGUAGAGCACUGUUUCGGCAAGGGGGUCAUCCCGACUUACCAACCCGAUGCAAACUGCGAAUACCGGAGAAUGUUAUCACGGGAGACACACGGCGGGUGCUAACGUCCGUCGUGAAGAGGGAAACAACCCAGACCGCCAGCUAAGGUCCCAAAGUCAUGGUUAAGUGGGAAACGAUGUGGGAAGGCCCAGACAGCCAGGAUGUUGGCUUAGAAGCAGCCAUCAUUUAAAGAAAGCGUAAUAGCUCACUGGUCGAGUCGGCCUGCGCGGAAGAUGUAACGGGGCUAAACCAUGCACCGAAGCUGCGGCAGCGACGCUUAUGCGUUGUUGGGUAGGGGAGCGUUCUGUAAGCCUGUGAAGGUGUACUGUGAGGUAUGCUGGAGGUAUCAGAAGUGCGAAUGCUGACAUAAGUAACGAUAAAGCGGGUGAAAAGCCCGCUCGCCGGAAGACCAAGGGUUCCUGUCCAACGUUAAUCGGGGCAGGGUGAGUCGACCCCUAAGGCGAGGCCGAAAGGCGUAGUCGAUGGGAAACAGGUUAAUAUUCCUGUACUUGGUGUUACUGCGAAGGGGGGACGGAGAAGGCUAUGUUGGCCGGGCGACGGUUGUCCCGGUUUAAGCGUGUAGGCUGGUUUUCCAGGCAAAUCCGGAAAAUCAAGGCUGAGGCGUGAUGACGAGGCACUACGGUGCUGAAGCAACAAAUGCCCUGCUUCCAGGAAAAGCCUCUAAGCAUCAGGUAACAUCAAAUCGUACCCCAAACCGACACAGGUGGUCAGGUAGAGAAUACCAAGGCGCUUGAGAGAACUCGGGUGAAGGAACUAGGCAAAAUGGUGCCGUAACUUCGGGAGAAGGCACGCUGAUAUGUAGGUGAAGUCCCUCGCGGAUGGAGCUGAAAUCAGUCGAAGAUACCAGCUGGCUGCAACUGUUUAUUAAAAACACAGCACUGUGCAAACACGAAAGUGGACGUAUACGGUGUGACGCCUGCCCGGUGCCGGAAGGUUAAUUGAUGGGGUUAGCGCAAGCGAAGCUCUUGAUCGAAGCCCCGGUAAACGGCGGCCGUAACUAUAACGGUCCUAAGGUAGCGAAAUUCCUUGUCGGGUAAGUUCCGACCUGCACGAAUGGCGUAAUGAUGGCCAGGCUGUCUCCACCCGAGACUCAGUGAAAUUGAACUCGCUGUGAAGAUGCAGUGUACCCGCGGCAAGACGGAAAGACCCCGUGAACCUUUACUAUAGCUUGACACUGAACAUUGAGCCUUGAUGUGUAGGAUAGGUGGGAGGCUUUGAAGUGUGGACGCCAGUCUGCAUGGAGCCGACCUUGAAAUACCACCCUUUAAUGUUUGAUGUUCUAACGUUGACCCGUAAUCCGGGUUGCGGACAGUGUCUGGUGGGUAGUUUGACUGGGGCGGUCUCCUCCUAAAGAGUAACGGAGGAGCACGAAGGUUGGCUAAUCCUGGUCGGACAUCAGGAGGUUAGUGCAAUGGCAUAAGCCAGCUUGACUGCGAGCGUGACGGCGCGAGCAGGUGCGAAAGCAGGUCAUAGUGAUCCGGUGGUUCUGAAUGGAAGGGCCAUCGCUCAACGGAUAAAAGGUACUCCGGGGAUAACAGGCUGAUACCGCCCAAGAGUUCAUAUCGACGGCGGUGUUUGGCACCUCGAUGUCGGCUCAUCACAUCCUGGGGCUGAAGUAGGUCCCAAGGGUAUGGCUGUUCGCCAUUUAAAGUGGUACGCGAGCUGGGUUUAGAACGUCGUGAGACAGUUCGGUCCCUAUCUGCCGUGGGCGCUGGAGAAUUGAGGGGGGCUGCUCCUAGUACGAGAGGACCGGAGUGGACGCAUCACUGGUGUUCGGGUUGUCAUGCCAAUGGCACUGCCCGGUAGCUAAAUGCGGAAGAGAUAAGUGCUGAAAGCAUCUAAGCACGAAACUUGCCCCGAGAUGAGUUCUCCCUGACUCCUUGAGAGUCCUGAAGGAACGUUGAAGACGACGACGUUGAUAGGCCGGGUGUGUAAGCGCAGCGAUGCGUUGAGCUAACCGGUACUAAUGAACCGUGAGGCUUAACCUUACAACGCCGAAG